AAAGAGGAAGAUGGGCGAAGAGCAAUAUGAUGAUUGGGAAAUACCAGAGUCACUACUGAAGAUGGUUGAUGGGAUGGAAGACGUGUCAGCAAAUUCUUGGUUUAAUGCUAAAGAUGUAAGUUUUUUAUUUUUAAAAAUUAAUAUUGUAUUCAAGGUUAAUUGUGUUUUUAUUUAUUUAUUUAUUUAUUAUCAUGUUUAGGUUAUCACAGUUUGCAACGUGGGAGGCAAUUAUUGGGUCACCAUACGUAUUUGUCUUACGGGUUGGACUAUUGAGUUGUACGAC
rnacentral:lncRNA from 1 species